UGUCACUGUCACCUCUGUGUCACUGUCACCCAUGUCACUGUCACCUCUGUCACUAUCACCGUGUCAUGUCGCCCGCAUCGUGUCCCCUCUGUGUCGCUGUCACCCACAUCAUGUCACCCAUGUCUCUGUCACCUCUGUGUCAUUGUCACCCUCAAUGUGUUACGUCUGUGUCACUGUCAUUCACGUCAUGUCACCCGUGUCAUGUCACCCCUGUGUCACUGUCACCCAUAUCAUGUCACCUGCAUCAUGUCACCUCUGUGUCACUGUCACCCGCAUCAUGUCACCUGCAUCAUGUCCCCCUGUGUCACUGUCACCUCUGUGUCACUGUCAUUCACAUCAUGUCACCUCUGUGUCACUGUUACCUCUAUCACUGUCACCAUGUCAUGUCACCUGCAUCGUGUCCUCUCUGUGUCACUGUCACCUCUGUGUCACUGUCACCCGCAUCAUGUCACCUGCAUCAUGACAUCUCUGUGUCACUGUCACCUGUGUCAUUGUCACCUGCGUCAUGUCACCCAUGUCAUGUCACCCGCCUCGUGUCGCCUCUGUGUCACUGUCAUUCGCGUCAUGUCACUGUCACCCGCAUCACGUCACCCGCAUCAUGUCACCUCUGUGUCACUGUCAUUCACAUCAUGUCACCUGUGUUACUGUCACCUCUGUGUCACUGUCACCUGCGUCAUGUCACCCACGUUGUGUUACGUCUGUGUCACUGUCACUCGCGUUGUCACCCGCAUCACUGUCACCUCGGUGUCGCUGUCACCCACAUCAUGUCACCCAUGUCUCUGUCACCUCUGUGUCACUNUCACCGUGUCAUGUCGCCCGCAUCGUGUCCCCUCUGUGUCACUGUCCCCUCUGUGUCACUGUCACUCACGUCGUCACCCGCAUCACUGUCACCCGCAUUAUGUCACCCACAUCAUGACACCUCUGUGUCACUGUCACCUGCGUCACUGUCACCUCUAUCACUGUCACUGUGUCAUGUCACCCACAUCAUGUCACCUCUGUGUCACUGUCACCCACAUCGUGUCACCUGCAUCAUGACACCUCUGCGUCCCUGUCACUUCUGUGUCACUGUCACCCACGUCACUGUCACCUCUGCCACUGUCACCUCUGUGUCACUGUCACCUCUGUGUCAGUCACCCGCGACAUGUCACCUCUGUCACUGUCACCCCUGCGUCACUGUCACCCGUAUCAUGUCACCUCUGUGUCACUGUCACCCAUGUCAUGUCACCUCUGUCACUGUCACCCCUGUGUCACUGUCACUCACAUCGUCACCCGCAUCACUGUCACCUCUGUGUCGCUGUCACCUGUCACUGUCACCCACAUCGUGUCACCUCUGUGUCACUGUCAUUCACGUCACAUCACUUCUGUGUUACUGUCACCUCUGUGUUACUGUCACCUGCAUCAUGACACCUCUGUGUCACUGUCACCCACAUCAUGUCACCCGCAUCACUGUCAUCUCUGUGUCACUGUCACCUGCGUCACUGUCACCUCUGUGUCGCUGUCACCCGCAUUAUGUCACCCGCAUCAUGACACCUCUGUGUCACUGUCACCUCUGUGUCACUGUCACCUCUGUGUCACUGUCACCCAUGUCACUGUCAUCUCUGUGUCACUGUGACCCGCAUCACGUCACCCACAUCAUGACACCUCUGUGUCACUGUCACCUGCGUCGUCACCCGCAUCACUGCCACCUCUGCGUCACUGUCACCCGCAUCACUGUCACCCACAUUGUGUCACCCACGUCACUGUCGCCUGUGUCACCCUCACCUCUUUGUCACCACGUUUCCCGUUCCUUGUGUCCCCUGUCACCCCUGUGACGCUAUCACCUCUUUGUCACCACUCUUCCCGUGUCUCGUGUCACCCGUCAUCUCUGUCCCCUUUGUGUCACCUGCGCCGACUGUUGCACGUGCAACCUGUGCCCCGUGCCGCCCAUCGUCCCGGUCUCCUCGGUCCCUGUCACAUCUGUCACCUGUGUCCUUGCUGCUGUGUUCCCAUCGCCUGUGUCACCCAUGCGUCCUUGUUGCCUCUGUCACCCGUGUCUUCUGUCACCUGUGUCACUUGUGUCCCUGUCACCCGCGUGCCACCUGUGUCACUUGUCACCUCCGUCCGCUGUGUCCUUGGCAUUUUUGUCAUUUGUCACCCUGCCACCUGUGUCCUGUCACCUCUGCUGCCUGUGUCCCCGUCACCUCUGUCACCUCUGCCGCCUGUGCCCCUGUCACCUCUGUCACCUCUGCUGCCUGUGUCCCCCGUCACCUGUGUCCCCCGUCACCUGUGUCCCCCGUCACCUGUGUCCCUUGUAUCCGUGUCACUUGUAUCCGUGUCACUUGUGUCCUCUGUCACCUUUGUCACCUGUGUCUCCCGCUGCCCCCCCCCCGUCACCUCUGUCAAACCUGUCCCGUGACACCCGUUAUCUCACUUGUCACCUGGGCGUCACUUGCGUCCCCUAUCGCUUCUGUCCCCCGUGUCACCCGUGUCGCUUUUGUCACCCGUGUCCCCGCAGCCUGCACCCCUCGCUCCCGCUGUUGGCCACGUCCUCGGGGCAGCGCGUCUUCCCGGCGCCGUGGGACAGCGACGAGGACGGGGGGGACGAGGACGACCCCCCCCGGCGUGGGGACAACCGCCUGCAGCUGUGGUGGUGGGGGGGUGACAGCGCCGACUGCCACGGGGACGUCACCGAGCCCUGUGGGGACAGCAGUGAGAGCUAUGGGGACAACAC
ensembl:lncRNA